UACAGAGGGUGCGAGCGUUAAUCGGAAUUACUGGGCGUAAAGCGCGCGUAGGCGGCUUUGCAAGUCGGGUGUGAAAUCCCCAGGCUCAACCUGGGAACUGCAUUCGAGACUGCAUUGCUAGAGUAUGGGAGAGGGAAGUGGAAUUUCCGGUGUAGCGGUGAAAUGCGUAGAUAUCGGAAGGAACAUCAGUGGCGAAGGCGCUCUGCUGGACCAUAACUGACACUCAGGGACGAAAGCUAGGGGAGCGAAUGGG
rnacentral:rRNA from 1 species